CUUUGUUUACAAAAUAUAUGGUUUAUUUUAUUUUAUUUAUUUAUUUUUUUUUGUCAACCUUUCAGCUUUGCUAGAAAUGCUGGGCAACAGGAAAGAAUUGAGUUCAUGACUCAUCAGCUUAUUAGACCACACGUCUCAGUGACUAUACAUGCUGCCGUCAGUCUCCGUUUUAUGGUGGUGAUAAAGGAAGGAUUCAGCUUAAUGGGAAGAUUUGCCCAACCCAAACCCUGCAGUAUCCAGCCUACCUCAAGCAGCUGGAAAUCACUUUUCACAGGAGUACUUUGGCACAUCCCCAUGAAAAAGGGAAUAUUUGUGCAAAGAUCUGAUAUGCUCCCAGGCAACAGGACCCAUUCCUUGCGUCUGACGUCUAUUUAAUUUGCAGACGUGCUGGAGUCACCUGAGACAAUGGCAAAGCUGCAGCUACCACCACCAAAGUCCUUGUGGCUACCCUUACAACUUUUGCACUUGCCAUUGAAGAAGGGGCUGCUUCAGGGGCGCUUGGCUGGCUCAGUUGGUAGAGG
rnacentral:lncRNA from 1 species